rnacentral:rRNA from 1 species
CCUACGGGAGGCAGCAGUAAGGAAUAUUGGUCAAUGGAGGCAACUCUGAACCAGCCAUGCCGCGUGCAGGAAGACAGCCCUCUGGGUCGUAAACUGCUUUUAUUCGGGAAUAAACCUCAUUACGUGUAAUGAGCUGAAUGUACCGAAGGAAUAAGGAUCGGCUAACUCCGUGCCAGCAGCCGCGGUAAUACGGAGGAUCCAAGCGUUAUCCGGAUUUAUUGGGUUUAAAGGGUGCGUAGGCGGCCUGUUAAGUCAGGGGUGAAAGACGGUAGCUCAACUAUCGCAGUGCCCUUGAUACUGACGGGCUUGAAUGAACUAGAGGUAGGCGGAAUGUGACAAGUAGCGGUGAAAUGCAUAGAUAUGUCACAGAACACCGAUUGCGAAGGCAGCUUACUAUGGUUUUAUUGACGCUGAGGCACGAAAGCGUGGGGAUCAAACAGGAUUAGAUACCCUGGUAGUCCACGCCCUAAACGAUGAAUACUCGCUGUUAGCGAUAUACAGUUAGCGGCUAAGCGAAAGCGUUAAGUAUUCCACCUGGGGAGUACGCCCGCAAGGGUGAAACUCAAAGAUAGUCGCGNGAGAGAGACGACGACGACGACGAGGAGGAGGAG